UACGUAGGGGGCGAGCGUUGUCCGGAAUCAUUGGGCGUAAAGCGCGUGUAGGCGGUCCGGUAAGUCCGCUGUGAAAGUCGGGGGCUCAACCCUCGGAUGCCGGUGGAUACUGUCGGGCUUGAGUACGGAAGAGGCGAGUGGAAUUCCUGGUGUAGCGGUGAAAUGCGCAGAUAUCAAGAGGAACACCUGAGGUGAAGACGGGUUGCUGGGCUGACACUGACGCUGAGGCGCGAAAGCCAGGGGAGCAAACGGG
rnacentral:rRNA from 1 species